rnacentral:rRNA from 1 species
GUGGGGAAUCUUAGACAAUGGGGGAAACCCUGAUCUAGCCAUGCCGCGUGAGCGAUGAAGGCCUUAGGGUUGUAAAGCUCUUUCAGCUGGGAAGAUAAUGACGGUACCAGCAGAAGAAGCCCCGGCUAACUCCGUGCCAGCAGCCGCGGUAAUACGGAGGGGGCUAGCGUUGUUCGGAAUUACUGGGCGUAAAGCGCACGUAGGCGGAUCAGAAAGUCAGAGGUGAAAUCCCAGGGCUCAACCUUGGAACUGCCUUUGAAACUCCUGGUCUUGAGGUCGAGAGAGGUGAGUGGAAUUCCGAGUGUAGAGGUGAAAUUCGUAGAUAUUCGGAGGAACACCAGUGGCGUAGGCGGCUCACUGGCUCGAUACUGACGCUGAGGUGCGAAAGCGUGGGGAGCAAACAGGAUUAGAUACCCGGGUAGUCC